AUUGAACGCUGGCGGCACGCCUAACACAUGCAAGUCGAGCGGCAGCGAGACUAGUAGCAAUACUAGUUGUCGGCGAGCGGCGGACGGGUGAGUAACACGUAGGAAUCUGCCCUUAAGCGGGGGAUAACCAAGGGAAACUUUGGCUAAUACCGCAUAAUCUCGAGAGAGCAAAGCUGCCCGCAAGGGUGGCACUUGAGGAGGAGCCUGCGUCCGAUUAGCUAGUUGGUGGGGUAAUGGCCUACCAAGGCGAUGAUCGGUAACUGGUCUGAGAGGGCGACCAGUCACACUGGGACUGAGACACGGCCCAGACUCCUACGGGAGGCAGCAGUGGGGAAUAUUGGACAAUGGGGGCAACCCUGAUCCAGCGAUGCCGCGUGAGUGAAGAAGGCCUUCGGGUCGUAAAGCUCUUUAGGUUGGGAAGAAGGGUAUUGGCUGAAUAAUCCAGUACUUUGACGGUACCGACAGGAUAAGCACCGGCAAACUCUGUGCCAGCCGCCGCGGUAACAC
rnacentral:rRNA from 1 species